rnacentral:rRNA from 1 species
GACAGAGGUGCCGAGCGUUAGGCGGAAUCACUGGGCUUAAAGCGUGUGUAGGCGGACUUCUAAGUACCUUGUGAAAUCCCACGGCUCAACCGUGGAACUGCUUGGUAUACUGGUCGUCUUGAGCCACCUAGGGGCAACCGGAACAAACGGUGGAGCGGUGAAAUGCGUAGAGAUGUGGAGGAAUGCCGAUGGCGAAGGCAGCCUCCUGGGCCAACACUGACGCUCAUGCACGAAAGCGUGGGGAGCAAACAGG